UCUCCCGUUUCCGGCUUAAUGUCUUCUGCU
rnacentral:piRNA from 1 species